rnacentral:misc_RNA from 1 species
CCCUUUUUACUACCGUUGAAGAUUCUGAACCAACUAGUGAAAAUGAAACCCAAGGCCCAACAGCAGUUUGACGAUUCUGUUAAGGAACUUGAAGAUGAAG